GGAAGCAGAAGGACUGUAGGGAAAUACUGUUCCUGUAAGCCAGAGAAAUGCUUUCUCUUCUUUUCAAAAGAGCAAGAGAUCCAUAUUCUUUGCCUGAUAAUUUCUCAGCAAGCUUCAUGAAACAUAGGAAUAAGGAAACCACAUAUGACUGAAAAGAUUACACUGAACUGUCCUGAAGGAUGAGUCCACAGGAAAUUCUCAGCUGACCAAAAGGCAGACCAAGAGGACUGUAUUGGUCUUCAAAGGGUUAAAGUGCUACCAGGUUGCAUUAAUGUCACCCUUCAGAAAUCACUGGCCAAUAACGUAUCAGCAAUCAGUGCUGCAGUGUGUUGUUCAGGACACUCAGUUUUUGGAGACAAGUGGCUGAUAUAUUUUGACAAGAAGAAAAAAUAGUCUCAGAAAUUCUUGCAAAUCUUAACUCAGAGGGGAAGAUAUAUGAAACAAACUGCUUCCAUUAGAAAAAAUGGUAAUGUUUGCCUUCGUAAGUAACUAGAUUUUAUGUCAGUUCAGU
rnacentral:lncRNA from 1 species